rnacentral:rRNA from 1 species
GGGUUGUGAGGUUAAGCGACUAAGCGUACACGGUGGAUGCCCUGGCAGUCAGAGGCGAUGAAGGACGUGCUAAUCUGCGAUAAGCGUCGGUAAGGUGAUAUGAACCGUUAUAACCGGCGAUUUCCGAAUGGGGAAACCCAGUGUGAUUCGUCACACUAUCAUUAACUGAAUCCAUAGGUUAAUGAGGCGAACCGGGGGAACUGAAACAUCUAAGUACCCCGAGGAAAAGAAAUCAACCGAGAUUCCCCCAGUAGCGGCGAGCGAACGGGGAGGAGCCCAGAGCCUGAAUCAGUGUGUGUGUUAGUGGAAGCGUCUGGAAAGGCGCGCGAUACAGGGUGACAGCCCCGUACACAAAAAUGCACAUAUUGUGAGCUCGAUGAGUAGGGCGGGACACGUGGUAUCCUGUCUGAAUAUGGGGGGACCAUCCUCCAAGGCUAAAUACUCCUGACUGACCGAUAGUGAACCAGUACCGUGAGGGAAAGGCGAAAAGAACCCCGGCGAGGGGAGUGAAAAAGAACCUGAAACCGUGUACGUACAAGCAGUGGGAGCACGCUUAGGCGUGUGACUGCGUACCUUUUGUAUAAUGGGUCAGCGACUUAUAUUCUGUAGCAAGGUUAACCGAAUAGGGGAGCCGAAGGGAAACCGAGUCUUAACUGGGCGUUAAGUUGCAGGGUAUAGACCCGAAACCCGGUGAUCUAGCCAUGGGCAGGUUGAAGGUUGGGUAACACUAACUGGAGGACCGAACCGACUAAUGUUGAAAAAUUAGCGGAUGACUUGUGGCUGGGGGUGAAAGGCCAAUCAAACCGGGAGAUAGCUGGUUCUCCCCGAAAGCUAUUUAGGUAGCGCCUCGUGAAUUCAUCUCCGGGGGUAGAGCACUGUUUCGGCAAGGGGGUCAUCCCGACUUACCAACCCGAUGCAAACUGCGAAUACCGGAGAAUGUUAUCACGGGAGACACACGGCGGGUGCUAACGUCCGUCGUGAAGAGGGAAACAACCCAGACCGCCAGCUAAGGUCCCAAAGUCAUGGUUAAGUGGGAAACGAUGUGGGAAGGCCCAGACAGCCAGGAUGUUGGCUUAGAAGCAGCCAUCAUUUAAAGAAAGCGUAAUAGCUCACUGGUCGAGUCGGCCUGCGCGGAAGAUGUAACGGGGCUAAACCAUGCACCGAAGCUGCGGCAGCGACGCUGAUGCGUUGUUGGGUAGGGGAGCGUUCUGUAAGCCUGCGAAGGUGUGCUGUGAGGCAUGCUGGAGGUAUCAGAAGUGCGAAUGCUGACAUAAGUAACGAUAAAGCGGGUGAAAAGCCCGCUCGCCGGAAGACCAAGGGUUCCUGUCCAACGUUAAUCGGGGCAGGGUGAGUCGACCCCUAAGGCGAGGCCGAAAGGCGUAGUCGAUGGGAAACAGGUUAAUAUUCCUGUACUUGGUGUUACUGCGAAGGGGGGACGGAGAAGGCUAUGUUGGCCGGGCGACGGUUGUCCCGGUUUAAGCGUGUAGGCUGGUUUUCCAGGCAAAUCCGGAAAAUCAAGGCUGAGGCGUGAUGACGAGGCACUACGGUGCUGAAGCAACAAAUGCCCUGCUUCCAGGAAAAGCCUCUAAGCAUCAGGUAACAUCAAAUCGUACCCCAAACCGACACAGGUGGUCAGGUAGAGAAUACCAAGGCGCUUGAGAGAACUCGGGUGAAGGAACUAGGCAAAAUGGUGCCGUAACUUCGGGAGAAGGCACGCUGAUAUGUAGGUGAAGUCCCUCGCGGAUGGAGCUGAAAUCAGUCGAAGAUACCAGCUGGCUGCAACUGUUUAUUAAAAACACAGCACUGUGCAAACACGAAAGUGGACGUAUACGGUGUGACGCCUGCCCGGUGCCGGAAGGUUAAUUGAUGGGGUCAGCGCAAGCGAAGCUCUUGAUCGAAGCCCCGGUAAACGGCGGCCGUAACUAUAACGGUCCUAAGGUAGCGAAAUUCCUUGUCGGGUAAGUUCCGACCUGCACGAAUGGCGUAAUGAUGGCCAGGCUGUCUCCACCCGAGACUCAGUGAAAUUGAACUCGCUGUGAAGAUGCAGUGUACCCGCGGCAAGACGGAAAGACCCCGUGAACCUUUACUAUAGCUUGACACUGAACAUUGAGCCUUGAUGUGUAGGAUAGGUGGGAGGCUUUGAAGUGUGGACGCCAGUCUGCAUGGAGCCGACCUUGAAAUACCACCCUUUAAUGUUUGAUGUUCUAACGUUGACCCGUAAUCCGGGUUGCGGACAGUGUCUGGUGGGUAGUUUGACUGGGGCGGUCUCCUCCUAAAGAGUAACGGAGGAGCACGAAGGUUGGCUAAUCCUGGUCGGACAUCAGGAGGUUAGUGCAAUGGCAUAAGCCAGCUUGACUGCGAGCGUGACGGCGCGAGCAGGUGCGAAAGCAGGUCAUAGUGAUCCGGUGGUUCUGAAUGGAAGGGCCAUCGCUCAACGGAUAAAAGGUACUCCGGGGAUAACAGGCUGAUACCGCCCAAGAGUUCAUAUCGACGGCGGUGUUUGGCACCUCGAUGUCGGCUCAUCACAUCCUGGGGCUGAAGUAGGUCCCAAGGGUAUGGCUGUUCGCCAUUUAAAGUGGUACGCGAGCUGGGUUUAGAACGUCGUGAGACAGUUCGGUCCCUAUCUGCCGUGGGCGCUGGAGAACUGAGGGGGGCUGCUCCUAGUACGAGAGGACCGGAGUGGACGCAUCACUGGUGUUCGGGUUGUCAUGCCAAUGGCACUGCCCGGUAGCUAAAUGCGGAAGAGAUAAGUGCUGAAAGCAUCUAAGCACGAAACUUGCCCCGAGAUGAGUUCUCCCUGACCCUUUAAGGGUCCUGAAGGAACGUUGAAGACGACGACGUUGAUAGGCCGGGUGUGUAAGCGCAGCGAUGCGUUGAGCUAACCGGUACUAAUGAACCGUGAGGCUUAACCUUACAACGCCGAAG